rnacentral:rRNA from 1 species
GACGAACGCUGGCGGCGUGCUUAACACAUGCAAGUCGAACGGAAAGGCCCUGCUUGCAGGGUACUCGAGUGGCGAACGGGUGAGUAACACGUGGGUGAUCUGCCCUGCACUUCGGGAUAAGCCUGGGAAACUGGGUCUAAUACCGGAUAGGAGCCAUUUUUAGUGUGAUGGUUGGAAAGUUUUUUCGGUGUAGGAUGAGCUCGCGGCCUAUCAGCUUGUUGGUGGGGUAAUGGCCUACCAAGGCGGCGACGGGUAGCCGGCCUGAGAGGGUGGACGGCCACAUUGGGACUGAGAUACGGCCCAGACUCCUACGGGGGGCAGCAGUGGGGAAGAUUGCACAAUGGGCGCAAGCCUGAUGCAGCGACGCCGCGUGGGGGAUGACGGCCUUCGGGUUGUAAACUCCUUUCGCUAGGGACGAAGCUUUUUGUGACGGUACCUAGAUAAGAAGCACCGGCUAACUACGUG